rnacentral:rRNA from 1 species
CCUAAAGGCGUAAUGAAAGUAAAGAUUGUCCUUKCGACAAUUAAGGGAGGAUGAGUUGCGUUACGAUGCUACUCCGCACUCCCGGGGCGUCUCGUUCUUAUUACAAGAAGAGGCGCACCUAGAGCGUACACGUUGGGACCCGAAAGAUGGUGAACUAUGCCUGGUCAGGAUGAAGUCAGGGGAAACCCUGAUGGAGGUCCGUAGCGAUUCUGACGUGCAAAUCGAUCGUCGGAACUGGGUAUAGGGGCGAAAGACUAAUCGAACCAUCUAGUAGCUGGUUCCCUCCGAAGUUUCCCUCAGGAUAGCUGGCACUCGUGUGAACGAGUCUCAUCUGGUAAAGCGAAUGAUUAGAGGCCUUGGGGCCGAAACGACCUCAACCUAUUCUCAAACUUUAAAUGGGUGAGAUCUCUGGCUUGSUUGAAUAUAUGAAGCCAUGAGAGAUCSGAUNNRAAUGNCNARNGG